ACUAUUUGUUUUCUAUUUCUGACAUUUCACAAUUGAGAAAUAGUUCUGAUUGUUAUAAUCUUAUUUAAUUUGUUUUUGUUUUAUUUGACUGUUUAUUGCGGUGAAUUGGGAAAGAAGGAAAAUACAUCAAUAUAACCACUUAUUAUUUCUAUUUUUUUUUGGAACUUUUUUUUUUUUUUUGUACCAGGGAUCGAACUCGGGUCCUUGCACUUGCGCAGCAGGCGGCGAAACCACUGAGCUAAAUCCCUGGCCCAUAAAGCAAUUCUUGUUUUUUUUUGUUUUUUGUUUUUUUCUGGUACUGGGGAUUGAACUUGGGACCUUGCCCUUGCAAGGCAGGUGCUGGAACCAUUGAGCUAAAUCCCCAGCCCUUCACUUAUUAUUUCUAUAAAAAAAAAAUAGUGUUGAGACAUUUUAUGACACUUAAAAGAAAAUUGGAAAUGUCAACACUGAUUAUAUAUGUGAUGAUAUUAAGCAAUGUCUCUUUUUGGUAUUAUAAUGGUGUUUAAAAUAUUUUUUAAAGAAAAAAGCCUUAAAAAGAUUUAAAAUCUUCACAGAUAAAAUUAUAUGACCCUGGAACUCAUUCCAGAAUAAUAAAGGCAGUAUCAGGGAUAAGGGUGUAGAUGGAAUAGGAUUGCCAUUGUUGAAGCUGAGUGAUGGGUACAUGAAAAGAACAUCAUAUUAUUCUGUCUACUUUUGUAUAUGUUUGAAAGUUUCCAUAAUUAAAAGCUGAAAAGAAGAAAAAGAUUCAGGAUUUUUUCUAAAUUCUGUGUGAUUUAGGUAUGAAGCCUCAGUAUUCAUAUGUAGAGAAGAAAAAUCCUCUGAGUUUUCAGGAGAAAAAAAAGUCAGGAGAAAGAAAAGUUUGCAAGUUCAUCUGCAUAAUAAAAGAACGGAGCCUGGAGUUGAGAAAGAGAGAGACUUUACAUACUCUUUCACUGGGGGUUACCUUUCCCACUUUGAGGCUGCCAAAGGAGAUGACUAGGAAAAAAACCAUUUUAUGCAAGUUGCCAAACCAGUAUAACAUUCACAAGACUUCAUUACCUCCUUGUACAUCUUCUUCAGUUAUUUGGAGAAAGGAAAUGCUUUCUAACUUCUACCUGACAUUGUAUAAAGAAGUACCCGAAGGAUAUUUAUAUUCACAAGAAUUAAGUGGUUAAAAGAGAGUCGAGAAUUUCUUGAAUGAAUUUCCUGAUUAUGUACUUUCUUCACAAUAAAUCUAGUAUUGAAAGAAGAUUGUCAGCACUCUGCUGCAGCACUGGGACUGUGUGAGCAGCCAGCUCGCCUGUGGCCUGUGUGCGAGCGUGAGGUGGUGAUAUGUUUGGAAUUACUGCUCAGUCUUGUCAGCCAUCCCCAGAAAACUAUAGUUUCUUAACUUGUGACUACCAAAGAAUAAGCAGCAAUUUCAAGAAGGAAAACAAUCCAAAAGCUACAUUGUAGAAAAUCUGCCUUAUUGAAGAAGUCACUCCCCUUUCCCUUUUUUCUUUGUAGAAGCAGAAGUAAAAGUAUUCCACUUGGCUCCCAGGUUGAACCUGUACAAUAAAUGUACUCUUAGAACUGGAUUUAUGAGUACAGUUAUUCUUACAGAUAAUUAAACAUGAAAGAAAGCGAGUGGCGUUCUGCCCAGUUCACAGAGCAAUGUGUAAAAUUUCAUGUUCGCGGAGGUGUAUACAAGCAAGAAUCUACAUCUCACCAGGCAGUUUGAUAUUUGGCAUGAGUUUGUCUGAAUCAGAGCAUGUAUCUUCAGACAGCUCAGGAGAAAAUAGUUUAAGAAGAAGCAAAAGAUCCUGUUGGAGGAAAUUUUGAAAUCUCCCAUUUGAUCUAAUAUGGACACGUUAAUCUUCCAAAAUUUUUCAUAUUGCACUAAUUUAUUAGAACAACUGUGUAUUGGAUUUUGCAGUUUAAAACUAAUGGAGGCACAAUGGACUUGUUUAAAAUAUUUUACUUGAUUAUAUACAUAUACCUUUUCCAGAAUUCAUAUAUAAUCUCUAUUGAACUUUCAGAUGGUCGAAACUUGUGUUCAUGUGAACCUUUGCAUUGUUUUUACCUGUUU
rnacentral:lncRNA from 1 species